rnacentral:rRNA from 1 species
CUAAGCAUAUCAAUAAGCGGAGGAAAAGAAACUAACAAGGAUUCCCCUAGUAACUGCGAGUGAAGCGGGAAAAGCUCAAAUUUAAAAUCUGGUGGUCUUUGGCCAUCCGAGUUGUAAUUUAGAGAAGCGACUUCCGCGCUGGACCGUGCACAAGUCUCCUGGAAUGGAGCGUCAUAGAGGGUGAGAAUCCCGUCUUUGGCACGGAUGCACCAGGGCUUUUGUGAUGCGCUCUCGAAGAGUCGAGUUGUUUGGGAAUGCAGCUCAAAAUGGGUGGUGAACUCCAUCUAAAGCUAAAUAUUGGCGAGAGACCGAUAGCGAACAAGUACCGUGAGGGAAAGAUGAAAAGCACUUUGGAAAGAGAGUGAAACAGUACGUGAAAUUGUUGAAAGGGAAACGCUUGAAGUCAGUCGCGUCGGUCGAGACUCAGCCUUGCCUCGGCUUGGCGUACUUCUUGGCUGACGGGUCAGCAUCAAUUUUGCCCCUCGAAUAAUGGCAAGGGAAAUGUGACACCUUUUACAGGUGUGUUAUAGUCUCUUGUCGCAUGCGAGGGUCAGGAUUGAGGAACUCAGCACGCGCCUUUGGGUGUCGGGGCCUUGGCCCACGAAACGUGCUUAGGAUGUUGGCGUAAUGGCUUUAAGCGACCCGUCUUGAAACACGGACCAAGGAGUCUAACAUGCCCGCGAGUGUUUGGGUGGAAAACCCAUGCGCGCAAUGAAAGUGAAAGUUGGGACCUCUGUCGUGGAGGGCACCGACGCCCGGACCAGACCUUCUGUGACGGAUCUGCGGUAGAGCGUGUAUGUUAGGACCCGAAAGAUGGUGAACUAUGCCUGAAUAGGGUGAAGCCAGAGGAAACUCUGGUGGAGGCUCGUAGCGAUUCUGACGUGCAAAUCGAUCGUCAAAUUUGGGUAUAGGGGCGAAAGACUAAUCGAACCAUCUAGUAGCUGGUUCCUGCCGAG